rnacentral:rRNA from 1 species
UCAAGUGAAGAAGCGCAUACGGUGGAUGCCUUGGCAGUCAGAGGCGAUGAAAGACGUGGUAGCCUGCGAAAAGCUUCGGGGAGUCGGCAAACAGACUGUGAUCCGGAGAUGUCUGAAUGGGGGAACCCAGCCAUCACAAGAUGGUUAUCUUACACUGAAUACAUAGGUGUAAGAGGCGAACCAGGGGAACUGAAACAUCUAAGUACCCUGAGGAAAAGAAAUCAACCGAGAUUCCCUUAGUAGUGGCGAGCGAACGGGGACCAGCCCUUAAGUUGUAUUGAGAUUAGCGGAACGCUCUGGAAAGUGCGGCCAUAGUGGGUGAUAGCCCUGUACGCGAAAAUCCCUUUGCAAUGAAAUCGAGUAGGACGGGGCACGAGAAACCUUGUCUGAAUAUGGGGGGACCAUCCUCCAAGGCUAAAUACUACUGACUGACCGAUAGUGAACCAGUACCGUGAGGGAAAGGCGAAAAGAACCGCGGAGAGCGGAGUGAAAUAGAUCCUGAAACCGUAUGCGUACAAGCAGUGGGAGCCCACUUUGUUGGGUGACUGCGUACCUUUUGUAUAAUGGGUCAGCGACUUAUUUUCAGUGGCGAGCUUAACCGAAUAGGGGAGGCGUAGCGAAAGCGAGUCUUAAUAGGGCGUCUAGUCGCUGGGAAUAGACCCGAAACCGGGCGAUCUAUCCAUGGGCAGGUUGAAGGUUGGGUAACACUAACUGGAGGACCGAACCGACUACCGUUGAAAAGUUAGCGGAUGACCUGUGGAUCGGAGUGAAAGGCUAAUCAAGCUCGGAGAUAGCUGGUUCUCCUCGAAAGCUAUUUAGGUAGCGCCUCAUGUAUCACUGUAGGGGGUAGAGCACUGUUUCGGCUAGGGGGUCAUCCCGACUUACCAAACCGAUGCAAACUCCGAAUACCUACAAGUGCCGAGCAUGGGAGACACACGGCGGGUGCUAACGUCCGUCGUGAAAAGGGAAACAACCCAGACCGUCAGCUAAGGUCCCAAAGUCAUGGUUAAGUGGGAAACGAUGUGGGAAGGCUUAGACAGCUAGGAGGUUGGCUUAGAAGCAGCCACCCUUUAAAGAAAGCGUAAUAGCUCACUAGUCGAGUCGGCCUGCGCGGAAGAUGUAACGGGGCUCAAACCAUGCACCGAAGCUACGGGUAUCACCUUUGGUGAUGCGGUAGAGGAGCGUUCUGUAAGCCUGUGAAGGUGAGUUGAGAAGCUUGCUGGAGGUAUCAGAAGUGCGAAUGCUGACAUGAGUAACGACAAUGGGUGUGAAAAACACCCACGCCGAAAGACCAAGGUUUCCUGCGCAACGUUAAUCGACGCAGGGUUAGUCGGUCCCUAAGGCGAGGCUGAAAAGCGUAGUCGAUGGAAAACAGGUUAAUAUUCCUGUACUUCUGGUUAUUGCGAUGGAGGGACGGAGAAGGCUAGGCCAGCCUGGCGUUGGUAGUCCAGGUUUAAGGUGGUAGGCUGAGAUCUUAGGUAAAUCCGGGAUCUUAAGGCCGAGAGCUGAUGACGAGUGUUCUUUUAGAACAUGAAAUGGUUGAUGCCAUGCUUCCAAGAAAAGCUUCUAAGCUUCAGGUAACCAGGAACCGUACCCCAAACCGACACAGGUGGUUGGGUAGAGAAUACCAAGGCGCUUGAGAGAACUCGGGUGAAGGAACUAGGCAAAAUGGCACCGUAACUUCGGGAGAAGGUGCGCCGGUGAGGGUGAAGCAUUUACUGCGUAAGCCCACGCCGGUCGAAGAUACCAGGCCGCUGCGACUGUUUAUUAAAAACACAGCACUCUGCAAACACGAAAGUGGACGUAUAGGGUGUGACGCCUGCCCGGUGCCGGAAGGUUAAUUGAUGGGGUUAGCGCAAGCGAAGCUCUUGAUCGAAGCCCCGGUAAACGGCGGCCGUAACUAUAACGGUCCUAAGGUAGCGAAAUUCCUUGUCGGGUAAGUUCCGACCUGCACGAAUGGCGUAACGAUGGCGGCGCUGUCUCCACCCGAGACUCAGUGAAAUUGAAAUCGCUGUGAAGAUGCAGUGUAUCCGCGGCUAGACGGAAAGACCCCGUGAACCUUUACUAUAGCUUUGCACUGGACUUUGAAUUUGCUUGUGUAGGAUAGGUGGGAGGCUUUGAAGCGUGGACGCUAGUCUGCGUGGAGCCAACCUUGAAAUACCACCCUGGCAACUUUGAGGUUCUAACUCAGGUCCGUUAUCCGGAUCGAGGACAGUGUAUGGUGGGUAGUUUGACUGGGGCGGUCUCCUCCUAAAGAGUAACGGAGGAGUACGAAGGUGCGCUCAGACCGGUCGGAAAUCGGUCGUAGAGUAUAAAGGCAAAAGCGCGCUUGACUGCGAGACAGACACGUCGAGCAGGUACGAAAGUAGGUCUUAGUGAUCCGGUGGUUCUGUAUGGAAGGGCCAUCGCUCAACGGAUAAAAGGUACUCCGGGGAUAACAGGCUGAUACCGCCCAAGAGUUCAUAUCGACGGCGGUGUUUGGCACCUCGAUGUCGGCUCAUCACAUCCUGGGGCUGAAGCCGGUCCCAAGGGUAUGGCUGUUCGCCAUUUAAAGUGGUACGCGAGCUGGGUUUAGAACGUCGUGAGACAGUUCGGUCCCUAUCUGCCGUGGACGUUUGAGAUUUGAGAGGGGCUGCUCCUAGUACGAGAGGACCGGAGUGGACGAACCUCUGGUGUUCCGGUUGUCACGCCAGUGGCAUUGCCGGGUAGCUAUGUUCGGAAAAGAUAACCGCUGAAAGCAUCUAAGCGGGAAACUUGCCUCAAGAUGAGAUCUCACUGGAACCUAGAGUUCCCUGAAGGGCCGUCGAAGACUACGACGUUGAUAGGUUGGGUGUGUAAGCGCUGUGAGGCGUUGAGCUAACCAAUACUAAUUGCCCGUGAGGCUUGACC